rnacentral:miRNA from 1 species
ACUCUCCCUCAAGGCUUCCA